UACAGAGACUGCAAGCGUUAUUCGGAUUCACUGGGCGUAAAGGGUGCGCAGGCGGCCAAGUGUGUCAGAUGUGAAAUCCCUCGGCUUAACCGGGGAACUGCGUCUGAUACUGGAUGGCUUGAGUUUGGGAGAGGGACGCGGAAUUCCAGGUGUAGCGGUGAAAUGCGUAGAUAUCUGGAGGAACACCGGUGGCGAAGGCGGCGUCCUGGACCAAUACUGACACUGAGGAGCGAAAGCCAGGGGAGCAAACGGG
rnacentral:rRNA from 1 species